rnacentral:rRNA from 1 species
AAAAUAAAAAUUAAUAAUGGGGGUUAUUAAUAAAAAAAAUUUUAUUGUGUUAAGUUUUAAGUAGGGUUAUUUGAAAAAAUUUAAUAUUUUAUAGUUAAUUAGUAUUGUGAAAGAAUUUUGAAAAUAUAUGAAAAUAAAUUUAUUAAAAAGUAAUUUUAAUUUAAUGUAUCUUGUGUAUCAGAGUUUAUUAAUAAAAUAAUUAUUUUUAAUUUUUUUCGAAUUUAAAAGAGAUAAUUAUUUAUUAAAGUUAUUGUUGCAUAAAUAUUUUAAAUAAUUAAUUUGAAAUGAGAUGUUAAUCGUUUUUAAAUAUAUCUAAUUUUUUUAGAAAAAAAUUUAAUUUUAAAUUAAUUUAAUAAUUGAUUUAUUUUUUUUUAUAAUUUUAUUAUUAAAUUAAUUUUAUAUUUUAAGGGAUAAGCUUUAAAUUAAAUUUUUAUAAUUUUUUUAUACUUUUAAUUAAAAUUUUUAUUAUUUAUAUUGUAAGUAAAUUUUAUUUUAUUAUAAAUAAUUUUAUAUUUAUUUAAAAUUUAAUUUAAAUUUAAUUUUUUAUAAAAAAAAAUUUUUUUAAUUUAAUAAAAUAUGAUAUAAUGAUAAAAUUAGUAUAUAAAUUUAAUUUAAUAAAAUAUUAUUUAUAUUUAUUAAUUUUAAGGAAUUCGGCAAAAUUUUAUGUCCACUUGUUUAUCAAAAACAUGUCUUUUUGAUUUUAAUUUAAAGUUUAAUCUGCCCACUGAUGAAAAUUAAAGGGCUGCAGUAUUUUGACUGUACAAAGGUAGCAUAAUCAUUAGUCUUUUAAAUGGUGACUUGUAUGAAUGAUUGGAUGAGAUAUAAGCUGUCUUAAAUUUAUUUGAUAGAAUUUAAUUUUUUAAUUAAAAAGUUAAAAUAAAUUAAAAAGACGAGAAGACCCUAUAGAGUUUUAUAAGUAUAAUUAAAUUAAGAAUAUUUAUAAAAUUAAAAUUAUUUAAAAUUUGUUUAUUUAUUUGAUUGGGGUGAUUAAAAAAUUUAAUUAACUUUUUUUAAUUUUUAACAUAGAUAAAUGAUUUAAUGGAUCCAAUUUUAUUGAUUGAAAGAAAAAAUUACCUUAGGGAUAACAGCGUAAUUUUUUUUUUUAGUUCAUAUAAGAAAAAGAGUUUGCGACCUCGAUGUUGGAUUAAGAUGAAAUUUAAAUGUAAAAGUUUGAGUGUUUUGAUCUGUUCGAUCAUUAAAAUCUUACAUGAUCUGAGUUCAAACCGGUGUAAGCCAGGUUGGUUUCUAUCUUUUAGUAAAAAUAAUAUUUUAGUACGAAAGGAUCGAGUAUUAAAAUUAAAUUUAAUAUUUAAAGAAUAUUAUUAAAAUUUAUUUAAAAUUAAUAAAAUUAUAAAAUUUGUUUAGUUUAAUAUAAUAAUGAAUGAUAAUGGGAUUUUUAUUGUUAAUAAUAAAAAUUUAUUUAAUUAAUUUUAAUUUAUAGUAUAUUUAAUUUAUUAGUAU